CCUACGGGAGGCAGCAGUGAGGAAUAUUUGUCCAUGGGCGCGAGCCUGAACCAGCCAAGUCGCGUGAGGGAAGACGGUCCUAUGGAUUGUAAACCUCUUUUGUCGGGGAGCAAAAGACGCCACGCGUGGCGUUCCGAGAGUACCCGAAGAAAAAGCAUCGGCAAACCCCGUGCCAGCAGCCGCGGUAAUACGGAGGAUGCGAGCGUUAUCCGGAUUUAUUGGGUUUAAAGGGUGCGCAGGCGGAGGAUCAAGUCAGCGGUAAAAUUGAGAGGCUCAACCUCUUCGAGCCGUUGAAACUGGUUGUCUUGAGGGAGUGAGAAGUAUGCGGAAUGCGUGGUGUAGCGGUGAAAUGCAUAGAUGUCACGCAGAACUCCGAUUGCGAGGGCAGCAUACCGGCGCUCAACUGACGCUCAUGCACGAAAGUGUGGGUAUCGAACAGGAUUAGAUACCCGGGUAGUC
rnacentral:rRNA from 1 species